rnacentral:rRNA from 1 species
AUUGAACGCUAGCGGGAUGCUUUACACAUGCAAGUCGAACGGAGUGGCGGACGGGUGAGUAAUAUAGGGGACCGCGCCCAGUAGCGGGGGAUAUCUUGGAGAAAGAGUGGCUUAUACCGUAAUAUACUGGGGCGGCCGAUAGCGGAUGAGCUAGGUGGGGGGGUAAAGGCUCACCAAGGAAACGAUCCGGAGCUGGUUUGAGAGGACGACCAGCCACACUGGGACUGAGACACGGCCCAGACUCCUACGGGAGGCAGCAGUGGGGAAUUUUGGACAAUGGGGGAAACCCUGAUCCAGCCAUCCCGCGUGUGUGAUGAAGGCCUUCGGGUUGUAAAGUACUUUUGGCAGAGAAGCGGUAUCUGCAGAAUAAGCACCGGCUAACUACGUGCCAGCCGCCGCGGUAAUUC